UCAGAGCUGCCCAUUAUGAGCUGGGUUCUGUCAGAACCAAUUCAUAAGGUAGAUGGAUCCAGCAGUAAUUCGUCGUAAGAUGGACGUGAGGAAUCUGGGAUCAGCAUAAACAAGGCCAGAGAGUACAGAUAAGCUACAUGAACAGGUAGUCCAAUCUAAGACAGAUGGCAAGGUCCAGGAUUUUCCCAAUGAUCCAAAGUAAUUACCUUCAGAAGACAACAUGAGUUAAUAUCAAUGGUCAUUUUUCCACAUCUGCAAAUUCAGCAAGAUGGUAUUACUUCUUAAAAAUUUUCUUUCUGCUCAAGGAUACAAUGUUCAUAUUUCCACCUUGGAAGAGGAGAGUUGUAACUUGGAUAACUUGUUGAAGAGAGAAGUGGAAGGAUUUGUCUUCAAGAACUUUAUAAUAAAACUACUUUAAAAAUAGGAGA